UAGACACCCAGAAGUAGUGUAGCUAAAUGAUAUGACAACCACAGUUUUAGUAUUUUAGGAACUCCAUACUGAUUUCAAUAUGGCUACACUAAUGUCCAUUUGUAAAGAUCUCCCACCCUCUGUGCACAUCAGCAUCUUCCCUCUUGACUUGCUUUGAGCCUAAAAUCUGAUCUGGUUUGAAGAAAGUUUCAUGAACUGCUGAGAAGAACCCAUUUACCACAGGUAUUGGGUGAAAUAAUUCUGCUGGUGUCUUGUCUGUGUGUCUCGGAGGCAGAGUAUGAGGUGCUGUUGAUGGACUCAGGGUCUUCUUGCAUGCUUAGCAGUUUCUUUUGGUCACAGAUUCUGAACACAGCAACAAAAAUCUAGGAGAGUAGCUGAAUGGUGUUGGAGGAGCACAGAGGAGCCCUCCCAGUGGAUCCCUGUCUCCUGGGGUGAAGCUCCCAGGAAGUGGAUCUGGGGAAGCUCCAGCCAUGAGGACUAUGAAAAUAAACUGCCAACGAUGUGAAUGGGACAGAUUCAAAGUGAUGGAAGAUUUUCAGAGACCGCAGGCUGCACGCUGCGACAGGGAUCCAGAGAUGAACAUCUGCUUUUGGUGAGGGACGGAGCCCUGGUCCAGCAUCAAGUCAGCCAACCCACCUACCAGGGCAUCUGCCUGGGUCCUCACCAACAGACAUGGGUGCAGAACUGAAGCCAGGCAGCCACCGGGCCAGAUCCCCCACCCAGGUCUGAUAUCUGACUCUGGGCAACCCCAAUCUAAAGACAUUAAUAAAACUUUCUAAAAAAUG
rnacentral:lncRNA from 1 species